CGUACGGGGACAACAUUCCGAAAGGAGUGCUAAUACCGGAUGUGAUCAUCUUGCCGCAUGGCAGGAUGAAGAAAGAUGGCCUCUACAAGUAAGCUAUCGCUAAAGGAUGGGCCUGCGUCUGAUUAGCUAGUUGGUAGUGUAACGGACUACCAAGGCGAUGAUCAGUAGCCGGUCUGAGAGGAUGAACGGCCACAUUGGGACUGAGACACGGCCCAA
rnacentral:rRNA from 1 species